rnacentral:rRNA from 1 species
CCAAGGAGUCUAACAUGUGCGCGAGUCAUUGGGUCUUGCUCAGGCCCAAAGGCGCAAUGAAAGUGAAGGCCGGCCCGGUCGGGUGCGUUGGGAUCCCGCAUUCAUUUAUUGUGUGCGGGCGCACCAACGGCCCGUCCCGAUCGCCGCGUCGACGGGGCGGAGUGAGAGCGUACACGUUGGGACCCGAAAGAUGGUGAACUAUGCCUGGGCAGGACGAAGCCAGAGGAAACUCUGGUGGAGGUCCGCAGCGAUUCUGACGUGCAAAUCGAUCGUCAGACCUGGGUAUAGGGGCGAAAGACUAAUCGAACCAUCUAGUAGCUGGUUCCCUCCGAAGUUUCCCUCAGGAUAGCUGGCGCUCGGAGGAAGCAUUCUCAUCCGGUAAAGCGAAUGAUUAGAGGCCUUGGGGCCGAAACGACCUCAACCUAUUCUCAAACUUUAAAUGGGUGAGAAGUCCGGCUUGCUCGACUGAAGCCCGGACGCGAGGAUGCGAGUGCCCAGUGGGCCACUUUUG